rnacentral:tRNA from 1 species
GAGGAUAUAGCUUAAGUGGUAGAGCACAUGCCUAGCAUGCACAAAUUCCUGGGUUCAAUCCCCAGAACCUCC